GUGCUCACUUCAGCAGCCCAUAUCCUAAAAUUGGAAUGAUACAGAGAAGAUUAGCAUGGCCCCACGUGAGGAUGACACACAAAUGCGCGAAGUGUUUCAUGUUUUG